AAGGAUCAUUGAAUCUAUCACAAUCCACACCAAACGUGAACCAUUACUGUUGGCCCGAGGCCGCAAGGUCUCGCGAGUGCCGCCCGAGCCUCUGGCUUGGGUGCGUGCUCGGUCUUGGGUGUUCGGGCUUCGGCUCGGGCGCUCGGGUCGGUCUUUAUUAACCAUCAACACCAAACCUAUCCUUCUAAAGCAAAGCAUGCAAUCGGCUUAGAGCUGUUGCAUACCAACCAAGACAACUCUCAACAACGGAUAUCUUGGCUCUC
rnacentral:misc_RNA from 1 species